rnacentral:rRNA from 1 species
GUCGAGGGGUAUAGUAGCAAUACUAGAGGCCGGCGCACGGGUGCGUAACGCGUAUGCAAUCUACCUUUUGCAGAGGGAUAGCCCAGAGAAAUUUGGAUUAAUACCUCAUAGUAUGUGAGAAUCGCAUGGUUUUCACAUUAAAGUCACAACGGCAAAAGAUGAGCAUGCGUCCCAUUAGCUAGAUGGUAAGGUAACGGCUUACCAUGGCAACGAUGGGUAGGGGUCCUGAGAGGGAGAUCCCCCACACUGGUACUGAGACACGGACCAGACUCCUACGGGAGGCAGCAGUGAGGAAUAUUGGUCAAUGGGCGCAAGCCUGAACCAGCCAUGCCGCGUGCAGGAAGACGGUCCUAUGGAUUGUAAACUGCUUUUAUACAGGAAGAAACACUACCUCGUGAGGUAGCUUGACGGUACUGUAAGAAUAAGGAUCGGCUAACUCCGUGCCAGCAGCCGCGGUAAUACGGAGGGUCCAAGCGUUAUCCGGAAUCAUUGGGUUUAAAGGGUCCGUAGGCGGUUAGAUAAGUCAGUGGUGAAAGCCCAUCGCUCAACGGUGGAACGGCCAUUGAUACUGUCUGACUUGAAUUAUUAGGAAGUAACUAGAAUAUGUAGUGUAGCGGUGAAAUGCUUAGAGAUUACAUGGAAUACCAAUUGCGAAGGCAGCUGGCCAACACGUAACUGACGCUGAGGCUCGAAAGCAUGGGGAUCAAACAGGAUUAGAUACCCUGGUAGUCCAUGCCGUAAACGAUGAUAGCUGGGUGCCCGGAGCUUGCCUCUGGGUGCCUGAGGGAAACCAUUAAGCUAUCCACCUGGGGAGUACGCCGGCAACGGUGAAACUCAAAGGAAUUGACGGGGGCCCGCACAAGCGGUGGAACAUGUGGUUUAAUUCGAUGAUACGCGAGGAACCUUACCCGGGCUUAAAUGGCAGGUGCAUAGAUCAGAGAUGGUCUUUUCCUUCACGGGAACUCCCUGUCAAGGUGCUGCAUGGGCUGUCGUCAGCUCG